AUAAAGAUGAUGAUGACAAUGAAUUUUGUAGAGAAAGAGAAGAGAGCACAAACUUUUUGCUGAAAGUAGCUUUGAUUCGAUGUGUAUCGGUUCAUAGAUAAUGAGUUUUCAAGUCUAUUUUAAUAGAAUACUAAAAGUUAGCUCUAAAAAUC
rnacentral:pre_miRNA from 1 species